CGCCUCUUGACCCCAUAAGAGGUCCAGCCUGCCCAGUGACAAAUGUUUAACGGCCACGGUAUCCUAACCGUGCGAAGGUAGCGUAAUCACUUGUUCUUUAAAUGAGGACUAGUAUGAAUGGCAAUACGAGGGCUGCACUGUCUCCUUUUUUUGAUCUGUAAAACUAAUCUCCCCGUGAAGAAGCGGGGAUAUAUAUAUAAGACGAGAAGACCCUAUGGAGCUUUAAAUAAAAUAACAAUUGCUUUCCCCACACUAUUUUCAGAAUUUCUUUAUAAAACUCAGCACUUUGAUUACUAAUUUUAAGUUGGGGUGAUUACGGAGUAAAAACCAACCUCCGUGCUGAAAGGAUAUGUCCUGAGCAAAAAGUUACAACUUCAAGCACUAAAAAAUUAACACACAUUGACCCAAUUUUUUGAUCAACGAACCAAGUUACCCUAGGGAUAACAGCGCAAUCCACUUCAAGAGCUCCUAUCGACAAGUGGGUUUACGACCUCGAUGUUGGAUCAGGAUACCCAAGUGGUGCAGCCGCUACUAACGGUUCGUUUGUUCAACGAUUAAAAUCCU
rnacentral:rRNA from 1 species